rnacentral:rRNA from 1 species
GACGAACGCUGGCGGCGUGCCUAAUACAUGCAAGUUGAGCGCUGAAGGUUGGUACUUGUACCAACUGGAUGAGCAGCGAACGGGUGAGUAACGCGUGGGGAAUCUGCCUUUGAGCGGGGGACAACAUUUGGAAACGAAUGCUAAUACCGCAUAAAAACUUUAAACACAAGUUUUAAGUUUGAAAGAUGCAAUUGCAUCACUCAAAGAUGAUCCCGCGUUGUAUUAGCUAGUUGGUGAGGUAAAGGCUCACCAAGGCGAUGAUACAUAGCCGACCUGAGAGGGUGAGCGGCCACAUUGGGAAGGAGACACGGCCCAAACUCCUACGGGAGGCAGCAGUAGGGAAUCUUCGGCAAUGGACGAAAGUCUGACCGAGCAACGCCGCGUGAGUGAAGAAGGUUUUCGGAUCGUAAAACUCUGUUGGUAGAGAAGAACGUUGGUGAGAGUGGAAAGCUCAUCAAGUGACGGUAACUACCCAGAAAGGGACGGCUAACUACGUG